rnacentral:rRNA from 1 species
GACGAACGCUGGCGGCGCGCCUAACACAUGCCAGUCGAACGAGCGAGAGAGAGCUUGCUUUCUCAAGCGAGUGGCGAACGGGUGAGUAACGCGUGAGGAACCUGCCUCAAAGAGGGGGACAACAGUUGGAAACGACUGCUAAUACCGCAUAAGCCCACGACCCGGCAUCGGGUAGAGGGAAAAGGAGCAAUCCGCUUUGAGAUGGCCUCGCGUCCGAUUAGCUAGUUGGUGAGGUAACGGCCCACCAAGGCGACGAUCGGUAGCCGGACUGAGAGGUUGAACGGCCACAUUGGGACUGAGACCCGGCCCAGACUCCUACGGGAGGCAGCAGUUGGGAAUAUUGCACAAUGGGGGAAACCCUGAUGCAGCGACGCCGCGUGGAGGAAGAAGGUCUUCGGAUUGUAAACUCCUGUUGUUGAGGAAGAUAAUGACGGUACUCAACAAGGAAGUGACGGCUAACUACGUG